rnacentral:rRNA from 1 species
GGACUACCGGGGUAUCUAAUCCCGUUCGCUCCCCUAGCUUUCGCACCUCAGCGUCAGUCACCAGCCAGGACACUGCCUUCGCCUUCGGUGUUCCUCCGGAUCUCUACGCAUUUCACCACUCCACCCGGAAUUCCGUGUCCCUCUCUGGCCCUCAAGUGCCGCCGUCUUUCGCAUCCUCGGAGAGGUAAGCCCUCCGCUGUCACGCGAAACGCGCCGCACCGCCUGCGUGCCCUUUACGCCCAGUAACUCCGGACAACGCUCGCCCCCUACGUAUUACCGCGGCUGCUGGCAC